rnacentral:misc_RNA from 1 species
CAACCCUCAAGCCCGGCUUGGUGUUGGGGCCCUACGGCUGCCGUAGGCCCUGAAAGGAAGUGGCGGGCUCGCUGCGACCCCGAGCGUAGUAAUUCGUUUUCUCGCUAUGGACGUUGCGGCGGUGCUCCUGCCGUUAAAGACCCAUCUUUAACCAAA